rnacentral:sRNA from 1 species
GAGCUCCAUGGGAAGAGGCCCGAGGAAUGAGCACAGUCUUGACAGUUUCAGUGUGGGCUGACUGUGUCCUGAAGAAUGGGCUGGGAAGCAGCUUUACAUUCAGCCCCUCGAGGCAGGUCACUCAUCUGGGUUUGUUGCCCUGUCUGAUGCUCCCCUACUUGGGAUACCGAGAACUUCAGCCAACAAGUCUUCAGGUGCUCCUUCCUAUAGCAGAUGGUCCAGUUCACAGCCACAUCAGUCUAGCUCCACAGUGAGAGCCUAUCAAACUAGUAAGUCACGAGUGACCAUGAGCCCUGGCUUCAGCUCCCAGUGGAACAGCAGCCAACCAGCCUGGAAUACAUACUCCUUUCCAAGAGCCAGCCUGCACUACCAGUCCCAUGCCAGCUAUACCUACUGUACUGGACACCCUGCUUUUUCAGCUAGAUGGAGCCAAGGCAGAAGCCCACUGGUGGAACCUAGGCAGAUGCCAGCAGACACAGAAACCUGGGAAACAGGCUGCACAUUGAGUCAUCCUCUAAUGGAAGAUGGGAUGGCAAGGAAUGGACACAAGGGAGAACUGACGAGGGAUCUACACGUGCGGGAACUUUUCACUGGAUGAGAAAAAUGUAAAUCCAUUCAGAAACAUUUCUUCUCUAUCAGUGAAGCUCUACUUAUAUUUAGGGGAAUAGAAACAUUUGAGGGUAUCUAAAAUAUCUGGUAAUAGAGGAAAUUUAAUAUAUUUUUUGGUGUGCUUUUUACCCAAUGAACAAUUGAACCCAUGAUUUACAACUUAGCAUUACUUUAGCUGAAAAGGUAUCUGGAGAUUAAGAAAAAUUAUACUGAUCAUAAUAUUAAAAAUGUAACUUAUUUUUUAUUUUGUGUUUCCAGACUUAGAGGAUACCCUGUAGUGUUCUAGCCCACCCAUAUCUUUCUAAUUUUUAAGUAUGAUCACCAUUAGAACAUGAACAUUACCAAAUGGGGAUUAGGCUUAUUCACGUUUCAUUUAUUUUAACCUACUUUAACACUGAACUUUCUUUUCUUAUAAUUUGCAAAGACAAAGUCAACAUCUGGAGGAGGCCAUGCUGAUCCCAUCUAUGCCAUAACCUUUACACUGCUGGCUCAACUGUGAGAUUGCAAAGGGAUCAGUGAACUAGAUCGCAGACCCCCAGCUCCUUCUGGCCAUUUCUCACCUGCUCUCUUCUUCCUGCCCUUCAUCUGCCCACCUGUCCCUCUGUUUUUCUCUCUGCUGCUUUCAGACCACAAAGAAAAUUGAGUGCAGUGUCACCUUAUGAUAUGGAUUGGAUGUUUGUCCUCUCCAAACCUCAUAAUGAAAUGUGACCUCCAGUGUUUUGAGGUGGGGCCUGGUGGGAGGUAUUGGAUGAUGAGGGUGGAUCCAUUAUGAAUGGCUUAGUGCUAUUCCCUUGGUGAUGAGUGAAUUCAUCAGUUAAUUCACAAGAGAUCUGGUUGUUUAAGAGUCUAGGACAUCCCCCUUCUUUCUCUCUGGCUCCUGUUUUUACCAUGUAAUGUGUUUACUCCUCCUUCCCCGUGCUCCAUAAUUGGAAGCUUCCUGAGGCCUUCACCAGAAGGAGAUGCAGCACUAUGAGCCAAUUAAGCCUCCUUUCUUUAUAAAUUACUCCACCUUAGGUAUUUCUUUAUAGUAAUGCAAAAAUAGACUAAUAGACAUCUUACCUACUCAUGCCACUGUUUCAGAAGCCACCCCCAUUCCACUUAAAUAUCAUACAUGAUGGAAAACAAAACAAUACACAAGGUAGAAAACAUCCUAGAUAGCAGCUCCUGAGGGAAGGUACACUUCUACAAAAUAAAAAUCAGUGAGUUUAUAUUUUGGUAGCCUGUGAUGUUAUACAGAAUAGACAGAGAUUCUACUUAGGGUUCCAAUUCCCUCAGGCCCAUUAAGUAGGGCAGAUGGGCAUUAGAAGAGAUGCCUUUAAAAGUGGACAUUAAUGUACUUUUAAAAGUAAUGGGUCUGACCUAUAAAUCAUGGGAGGAAUGUAGUACAAAAUAGUGAAUGAAAUAUUUAUAUGUUCCAUUGAAGCUUCGUGUAUAUUCUAGAGGGAGAAGUCCCAGAGAGAUGGGUCUUCCCCUUUGUUCUGAAUCUAUUUUCCAAUUGCUCUGACACAGCUGUUGGCUUCACAGUCAUUCUGAAGUUGAUUAGAUCAGAAAGCAGAGGCCUGCCUGCCCAGCAUGACCAAUGAAAAACAUAAAGUUUGUCGGUGUUUCAAGCCUGGAGCAUGUAUUUUGAAGUUGUUUUGGUGUGCAUGGGCCUUCGACGUGGUUCUUUAAAUUUCAGUGCUGCUGCGUUUGUACAUCAUCUGUGUCCCAAACAGUGCAGCAAAAUGUGCAGUGCAUAGACUUGCAUAAAAUCUACCAAUCACAUCUGGAAAUGGCUGUCAGAUUUAUGGAGCAUGGCUGUAAUUACAUUCACAGAAAUGCUCAGUUGAAAGCAGUAACGAAGCCUUAUUACUUUUGUUUUGUUUGUUUUAAUAAAACAAAACACUUGAGUUUAAGGAAAUAAAUUGUUACCUAUGGAGAAAUCUUUUGACUUGCUGUUGGAAUGAUUUAGUGUUUCUAAAACAUGUGCUGUAGGUGAGCCUAAAUGCAGAUUCGUUUUUGUCUGAAGGUCAGAAAGGUUUGUAACAACUGCUAACAGUAAUAUGAGAUAUUAUGCUGACUGCUUUUCAACAAUUAUUUCAUUUAAUCUUCAAAAUUAAAAGGCAAGGAGGGAGUAUGAUUUUCAUUCUCCACUUACAGAAUCACUCCUCCCUACCAGCCUAGUCUGUCCUUCACCCUAUUCUGAUCCCAGGUGCCUCUAAGCACAAAGUCAUAUAGAUAGGGGAGCCUUUUAGUGAAGCCCUAUCCUCCUUCGAAAAGAAUUCUCCUAAGUGAAUACUGGACUCUGGGCCCCUAUGACUAUGGGCACAACCUGGGAUGCUUUGGGGCUUCAUCGAUGGGGAAACUUGAGUGGCACUUUGCCAGCAACAGCAACACUUCCACUUGCCUUUCUCAUUUAGUUGCCAACUUGGCUCCUUGAAAGCCUUAUGAGCUGGGUACGGUGUCUCAUGCCUGUAAUCCCAGCGCUUUGGGAGGCCAAGUCGGGCGGAUCACCUGAGGUCGGGAGUUCGAGACCAGCCUGACCAAUAUGGAGAAACCCCGUCUCUACUAAAAAAUAUACAAAAUUAGCCAGGCAUGGUGGCACACACCUGUAAUCCCAGCUACUCGGGAGGCUGAGGCAGGAGAAUCGCUUGAACCCAGGAGGCGGAGGUUGUGGUGAGCCAAGAUCGCGCCAUUGCACUCCAGCUUGGGCAACAAGAGUGAAACUCUGUCUAUAAAAAGAAAAAAAAAAAAAGCCUGAUGUUGCCAAAGUUACCUAGUCUCUAAAUAUGGGAUCCAGUACCAACAACAUUUUAACUAUGUCAUCAGGAGUGGUCAGCUGAAUUAUUGAGUCAUACAAUUUUAGAGUUGGUAAUGACCUUAAAUUUCAUGUGGUCUGCACCCCUCCAUCUUCAGCUGCGGAGGCUGGCCUUCAAGGAGUUGGGGGGAUUUUACUAAGCCAUAUAAGUGGGGAGGGUAGUGUGGAAUAAGAAACAACAUAUAUUCACUCCCAGUUCUGAACUUUUCCUUAUACUGUAUUGCCAGAACACACCAUGAAAUUUCGCUCUGCAAUAGAUAAGAGUUUCUUCUUGAUACUAUAUUUUACUAUGUUGAUACUAUAUUAUGGAAACAAUAAAUAUAUAUACAUAAUAAGUUUUAACUUAUUAAUCUUUACAGAAAAGAGCUGGCUUUUCAUUUAUCAUUUUAAACUUCAUACUUGAAAAUUCACUUUUUUCUUUUUUUUUGAGGCAGAAUCUCACUCUGUUGCCCAGGCUGGAGUGCAGUGGCGCAAUCUUGGCUCACUGCAACCUCCACCUCCCAGGUUCAAGUGAUUCUUCUGCCUCAGCCUCUCGAAUAGCUGGGAUUACAGGCACCCGCCACCACACCUGGCUAAUUUUUGCACUUUUAGAGUGCAAAAAUUAGUAGAGACAGGGUUUUUCUAUGUUAGCCAGGCUGAUCUCAAACUCCUUACCUCAGGUCAUCUGCCCACCUUGGCCUCCCGAAGUGCUGGGAUUACAGGCGUGAACCCCCAUAACUGGCUGAAAAUUCUUUAUUAUCUCCCUUCAAAGAGACAAACAGAAAAUGAAAUUGUUGUCUUAGAAUAUCUUACAAUAAAGAUUAGCUUACAGAAAACCAAGACUGGUCAUGAGGUUUUCUUUCUCUACUCUUUCACAUGUUAUAUGUUUUGUAGGAAUUUUGGCCAAGAAUCUAGAGGUUAAAUCUGUAUGCAUGGUUUUAAAAAACUGAUAUAACUGCACCAAAAACUGGAGAGAGGGCAGUGGGGACAUCACAUCCUAGAUAUUGACAUUUCAAAUGGAGAUACUUUCUUUACAAGUGUAGAUUCCUAACCUUUAAUGCAUUCUGAGAAUUUGACAUGGAUUUGUUUUAUAGCUCUCAAAGUAUUCAAUUUAGAACAACAACAAAAAUUGCAUUAGAAAACAUACUAUGCUGGGCCCGGCGAAGUGGCUCACACUUGUAAUCCCAGCACUUUGGGAGGCCAGGUGGGCAGAUCACCUGAGGUCAGGAGUUUGACACCAGCUUGACCACCAU